GAUGAACGCUGGCGGCGUGCCUAAUACACGCAAGUCGAGCGAACAGACGAGGAGCUUGCUCCUCUGACGUUAGCGGCGGACGGGUGAGUAACACGUGGAUAACCUACCUAUAAGACUGGGAUAACUUCGGGAAACCGGAGCUAAUACCGGAUAAUAUAUUGAACCGCAUGGUUCAAUAGUGAAAGACGGCUUUGCUGUCACUUAUAGAUGGAUCCGCGCCGCAUUAGCUAGUUGGUAAGGUAACGGCUUACCAAGGCGACGAUGCGUAGCCGACCUGAGAGGGUGAUCGGCCACACUGGAACUGAGACACGGUCCAGACUCCUACGGGAGGCAGCAGUAGGGAAUCUUCCGCAAUGGGCGAAAGCCUGACGGAGCAACACCGCGUGAGUGAUGAAGGUCUUCGGAUCGUAAAACUCUGUUAUUAGGGAAGAACAAAUGUGUAAGUAACUAUGCACGUCUUGACGGUACCUAAUCAGAAAGCCACGGCUAACUACGUG
rnacentral:rRNA from 1 species